ACGGGGUCAAACUCAGCCUGUUUCCUUUCUCUCUUGGAGGAAACGAUAAAACAUGGUUGCAUUCAUUCCCAGAAGGUACUGAUGAGUCGUUAUUUCUUGAACUAUAUUUAGUUUAUUGCACUUAAAUAAACCAGGGAAUUGUGUUUAAUUGUCUGUUAUUUCCCCGUUUUCCGAAUUUUGCUUAAUUUGGUCAAAAAUUCGUAUUUUCACUAAUUUGAAUUUUC
rnacentral:lncRNA from 1 species